rnacentral:misc_RNA from 1 species
GAUGAAGAACGCAGCGAAAUGCGAUACUUGGUGUGAAUUGCAGAAUCCCGUGAACCAUCGAGUCUUUGAACGCAAGUUGCGCCCGAAGCCAUUAGGCCGAGGGCACGCCUGCCUGGGCGUCACACGUCGUUGCCCCCCCAUCUACUCCUUCGGGAUUGCGGGGGGCGGAUGAUGGCCUCCCGUGCGCCUCGUCGCGCGGUUGGCCUAAAUGCCAAGUCCUCGGCGACGCACGCCACGACAAUCGGUGGUUGCGAAACCUCGGUUGCCUGUCGUGUGCGGUCGUCGCGCAUCGAGGGCUCGAAAAAAUUGCCGGGUUCCGGCUCGGCUUUCAACGCGACCCCAGGUCAGGCGGGGUUACCCGCUGAAUUUAAGCAUAUCAAUAAGCGGAGGA